AAAAAAACAAACCUUAGAUUUCCGUGACCAAUGUUUGAUUAUCCGUGUUAUAUGAAAUUUUUUUAUAAUUAGUAUUUUCAUUAUUGUUAGAUGAUAAAAUAUGAUUAAUACUUUAUGCGUGACUUAUCUUUUAAUUUUUUUCAUAAUUUUUCAAAUAAUACGGACGGUCUUUUAAUUUUUUUCAUAAUUUUUCAAAUAAUACGGACGGUCAAACAUUAGAUAUGGAAACCCAGCGUUUAUU
rnacentral:pre_miRNA from 1 species